ensembl:processed_transcript
GUACUGCAGGCUUCAGCUGACCCGGACUUCUCAGAGUGUCUCUUUUAGUGAGAGGCAGACAGGGUCCCAUGUGUUGUGACCCUUCUCUUACGAGAACAGCUGGAGGUUGCAAACAUGGCCGGGAAAGAACUCGAGGCCGAGACCCAUCUCAGGAGGUGCCUGUCUCCUCCAGGGCCACUCAACACGUCCAAUACUGUGACACAGAUGGGCUAGCCUCCUUCUCUCUCCUUCCACCCUGUCUUUAGGACCAUCUCCAGACAUCAAAGAGCAUUAUAUCAUGGCUAAGAACAGAUGCUGGGGCCAGGGAGAUGGGCACAGGGAGAUGGCACUAAGCUUUCAGAGGAUUGGAGUUUGGUUCCCAUUCCCAUGUUGGCCAGAUCAUGACGGCCAGUGGCUACAGCUUCAGAGGACCUGGAACCUUCUUCUGGUGACCCUGCAUGCACCACCUUCAUAUGCACCUCCCCCUAAGACACACACGGAAGCACACAAUCAAAAUAAUGAAAAGAACACAGGUGCUGGUUCUGUGUGGCUUCCCAGGGGAGGAGCCUCUGGGCUUCAGUCCAUAUCUGUGAAACGGGUUAACAACAGCACCUUUGUCCUGGAUACUGAACAGUUCAGGAAUCAUGAAGCUAGCCUGCAUGAUGUCAAACUCGAAACAUUGUGGCUGUCACCACUAAUGACCGAUUGAUUACGUAACCUCAUGGAGAAGAUCGAAGGGGCUAUCUUAAUCCACCUUUCUCAUGCCAUGAUGGGAGAGUCUAGUUGAUCUAAGUGAGAAUGGUGUUCCACUUUGUUUUUGAAAAACCCUCAUUGAGUGCCAGGCUGAGGUGGCAUGGAAGCCCCAGACUCCAGACACCCAGCAGGUUAUUCCUGUGUCAAGAUUAGGAAGUUGUGAACCUUUAUCUAAACAAAAUUGGGUCUGAAAGCAUCUACUGUAUUACCAUGUUGUUCCCAGAAACCAAGAUCAAUAAUUGUGAACUGCAGCAAAAUGCCACAAGAAAGCAGAUUCCACAAUCCCAACCACAGGCCAUGGGAGGCCCUGACUCUCCCUGCCUAGCACAGCCAGGGCUGGGAAAAGAUACCACAGGGGUUUCCCUCAUCCCUGAGAUAAGGGAGAGAAAGAUAACAGAUCUGCAGUCAAAUCAGGAUGGCAAAUCAGCAUGUACCGCUCACACACUGUCCUGAGAUGUUUUUAUCUUUUUAAGUUUAUUCAAUACCUAGGUAAUACUUUGUAGGGAGGUUGAAUUAUUAAACCCAUUUUUUUUUUGAUG